UGUCUCACCUGGUCACUCCUCGAUUUUUGGAGUGAAACAGGUGCUGUUGGAUUCUGCUGCUGCUGCUGGAGCUUCCUGUCCAUGCAGCUUGGAACCCCAUUGGUUAUUCCCAAAGUUAACUGUCAAGAUGCUUGUCACAUUGGAGACUAGAGGAGCAUCAGAGAGGCUGGACAGACUCCUCUCCCUGGAUCAUUCUUGUCUCAUCUCCAUUGGGACCUCCACUAUCCCCAAAGGACUCAAACAUUCAGCACAUGAAGGACAUGAAAAGGAGAGUGUGAGGAGUCGAAGAAGUGCUUUGGGAGCAGCAGAGGGCCAGAUUCCAUCGAGACAUAAAUGCCUAUGUUAGAAACAAAUAUAUUUUCUUUUUCGUCUUCAAGGGAAAUUGUAUUAUUUGCAUAGACUCCCCAGACUCUACAGUCCGGCUCUUAUAACUGGUAGGUGUUUCUAAAAAGAUGUAGAUCUGUACAUUAGACAGGUGGUCCCAAACGUCCCUUAGUUUCUAGGGACCCCAAUCAGCUGCAAGGUGAUACAGUCUUGCAAGGAAAUGUUGUCCUUGACAGAAGAAAAAGGUCCUGCAGCCUCAUUGUUGAGACUCAUAUCCAGGUGCAUAAACUGUGACUAUAAUCAACUGUGGUUCACAUCACUAAUGCCACGGUAAACAAAAUGUUUCAAGAACCAGAAGGAGCUCAAAAGUCUGCUGGCAAAUGUGUUUGCUAAGUCAGCAAACCUCUGCCCCUGCCUGAGCUUCCUUCAGGCAUUGCACUAGUCAUCACCGACUCCUGUGUGGCCCCUGAGUGUGAUUAUUUAAUAAUCAACAAGUAAGAGCAGCACUUUGAAUAAUUUUGCAUUAUCUUUAUGUUUGUGCAGUUUGUGGUAACCAGGACCCAGUUCUGAGGCUUCUCCAUGUUAUACGGCAUUGAAAUAGUUCUUCAGAAAGCCCCAUUAACAUGCCCAUAACAUGUGAAAACAAAAGGUGCAAACAUUGUAAAACGUGGGCUGUAAAACGGCGCAUACGUUGAGCAAUUACUUUACUUUCAUAAUGAAUUGAAACAGUGUGGGUGUGCAUCCUUCUGCAUGCAUCCCCCAUUCAUCUAUCACCCCAUAUUCUGUCAGAAAUACUUGCAUUACCAAACUUUUUUAUGAAUGUGUUUAGGCAUUGACAACAUUAGCUUUAAGUUCUCUUGGUUGUAGAGAAAGAUCAUGAUCUUGGCUUAAUACAGUGACUCUGCUCUCUGAUAUUGAACUCCUUCAUCGCCAUUCUACCAAACCAACUCCUUGUAGUUGUUAAUUCACUCAAACGAGCAUUGCCUAUGAGCAAUUAAAGUUUGCUUCCACAAUGCAAUUGGCAAAACCAUAUAGUAAUAUAUAUAGAAGUUAUUCCAAGGAGACGGUAUCUGUUUCUGCUUUCCCCGAUUUUGUUUUUACUUUGUCAAUAAACAUGUCCAUCUUGCAAAGGAUAAAGCUUCUAAAUAUUAUUAUAAUUAGUUAUUCAGUCAUGGAUGCCCAAGGUAAUAUUGCCACAAGUCAAUAGUAAAUAUUUUCCCUAUUUCAUUUACUUUUUUUUAGCCGUUUCUCACUCUUCUUCACCCCCCAAAAAAAGUGGAUUUCUGUCUCUGUGAGAAUAAAUAACAUCAAAUGAUUUUGUGUAUGAUCUGUCAGUUUGAGAUAUUCUGCAAUAUGACGUAUUCUUCUUACCAUCUAUUGCAUAUUUCUGCCAAAGGUGACCAAGCUUUUGCACGAGGCUCCACAAUCAUCUCUUGAAACUUGGUUUUAUCUAUAUACAUUUAUGCAUGUGCAUUAUUUGAAUGCAUUUUACUACAAUAAUAUUCUGCACGCUGCAUUCUUGUUUUUGUGUGUGGUAUCUUUUACAGUUUCAUUAUGGACUGCUUUUCUAUUGCUCCUUAUCCAUUUAUUCAAG